CAUAAACGAACUCAUCCAAUUCAACGAAGUUCUGACGGUUCUGCUCCAGCGAGAUAAUACGUCCGUACUCAUCGAAUUUAGGUCCGUAGAAUGUGCGGAUGACAACCUUUUGUGGUUUGUCAGAUUGGACUGUGAUGUCAAAGUUGAAUGGUUUGUGGUUGAGACGCAUCUGACGGGCAUAUAAUGCCUUAUCCCAAACGAAUUCGCCAUCAGCGAACACCAUUUUGUCGUUCAUUAAGUUGGUGACAUCAAAGUCUACCAAAUCGUAGUAAGUGACCAUUUCACUGACUCCCACACGCUUGAUUUCAACGCCGGGUAGAGCAAGUUCCUCUCUGGUGUAGGGGUGGAGUUGUUGUUUGUACAGGUAGUAGACGGUGCUGAUUUGCUUGUA